GAGCACGUAGGUGGGUUUGUAAGUCAGAUGUGAAAGCCUUCUGUUCAAAGGAAGAACGGCAUCUGAAACUGCAGAUCUUGAGUGUAGGAGGGGAGAGUGGAACCUCUGGUGGAGCGGUGAGAUGCGUAGAUAUCAGGAGGAACGUCGGCGGCGAAAGCGACUCUCUGGCCUAUUACUGACACUGAGUGUGCGAAAGUUAGGGGAGCAAACGGGAUUAGAUACCCCGGUAGUCCUAACUGUAAACGAUGGGCACUAAGUAGAGGG
rnacentral:rRNA from 1 species